rnacentral:rRNA from 1 species
GACGAACGCUGGCGGCGUGCUUAACACAUGCAAGUCGAGCGGUAAGGCCCUUUUGGGGGUACACGAGCGGCGAACGGGUGAGUAACACGUGGGUGACCUGCCCUCAGCUCUGGGAUAAGCCUGGGAAACUGGGUCUAAUACUGGAUAUGACCUUUCCUCGCAUGGGGGUUGGGUGGAAAGUUUUUCGGCUGGGGAUGGGCCCGCGGCCUAUCAGCUUGUUGGUGGGGUGAUGGCCUACCAAGGCGACGACGGGUAGCCGGCCUGAGGGGGCGACCGGCCACACUGGGACUGAGACACGGCCCAGACUCCUACGGGAGGCAGCAGUGGGGAAUAUUGCGCAAUGGGCGGAAGCCUGACGCAGCGACGCCGCGUGGGGGAUGACGGCCUUCGGUUGUAACC